rnacentral:rRNA from 1 species
GGGAUACUAACACUACAGGAUGGGCCCGCGGCGCAUUAGCUAGUUGGUAAGGUAAUGGCUUACCAAGGCGACGAUGCGUAGCCGACCUGAGAGGGUGAUCGGCCACACUGGGACUGAGACACGGCCCAGACUCCUACGGGAGGCAGCAGUAGGGAAUCUUCCGCAAUGGACGAAAGUCUGACGGAGCAACGCCGCGUGAACGAUGAAGGCCUUCGGGUCGUAAAGUUCUGUUGUUAGGGAAGAACAAGUACCGUUCGAAUAGGGCGGUACCUUGACGGUACCUAACCAGAAAGCCACGGCUAACUACGUG